CCUACGGGAGGCUGCAGUGGGGAAUAUUGGACAAUGGGGGGAACCCUGAUCCAGCCAUGCCGCGUGUGUGAAGAAGGCCCUCGGGUUGUAAAGCACUUUCAGUGAGGAAGAACGCCUGGUGGUUAAUACCCAUCAGGAAAGACAUCACUCACAGAAGAAGCACCGGCUAACUCUGUGCCAGCAGCCGCGGUAAUACGGAGGGUGCGAGCGUUAAUCGGAAUUACUGGGCGUAAAGCGCGCGUAGGUGGCUUGAUAAGCCGGUUGUGAAAGCCCCGGGCUCAACCUGGGAACGGCAUCCGGAACUGUCAAGCUAGAGUGCAGGAGAGGAAGGUAGAAUUCCCGGUGUAGCGGUGAAAUGCGUAGAGAUCGGGAGGAAUACCAGUGGCGAAGGCGGCCUUCUGGACUGACACUGACACUGAGGUGCGAAAGCGUGGGUAGCAAACAGGAUUAGAUACCCUUGUAGUC
rnacentral:rRNA from 1 species